rnacentral:ncRNA from 2 species
CGGACGGCGCGCGACUGGCGAUAGGCGCGGUGCCCUUGCAGGUGCCCUGCGCUGACGUGGAUGACCACUGGGAAGCGCGCCGCCUGCGGCAUGCGGCAGGCGUUCCGCCGUUCGCCUGGGCAGCCCUU